rnacentral:rRNA from 1 species
UACGUAGGGUGCAAGCGUUAAUCGGAAUUACUGGGCGUAAAGCGUGCGCAGGCGGUUGUGCAAGACCGAUGUGAAAUCCCCGGGCUUAACCUGGGAAUGGCAUUGGUGACUGUACGGCUAGAGUGUGUCAGAGGGGGGUAGAAUUCCACGUGUAGCAGUGAAAUGCGUAGAGAUGUGGGGGAAUACCGAUGGCGAAGGCAGCCCCCUGGGCUAACACUGACGCUCAGGCACGAAAGCGUGGGGAGCAAACAGG